rnacentral:rRNA from 1 species
GAAUGCUGACAUAAGUAACGAUAAAGCGGGUGAAAAGCCCGCUCGCCGGAAGACCAAGGGUUCCUGUCCAACGUUAAUCGGGGCAGGGUGAGUCGACCCCUAAGGCGAGGCCGAAAGGCGUAGUCGAUGGGAAACAGGUUAAUAUUCCUGUACUUGGUGUUACUGCGAAGGGGGGACGGAGAAGGCUAUGUUGGCCGGGCGACGGUUGUCCCGGUUUAAGCGUGUAGGCUGGUUUUCCAGGCAAAUCCGGAAAAUCAAGGCUGAGGCGUGAUGACGAGGCACUACGGUGCUGAAGCGACAAAUGCCCUGCUUCCAGGAAAAGCCUCUAAGCAUCAGGUAACAUCAAAUCGUACCCCAAACCGACACAGGUGGUCAGGUAGAGAAUACCAAGGCGCUUGAGAGAACUCGGGUGAAGGAACUAGGCAAAAUGGUGCCGUAACUUCGGGAGAAGGCACGCUGAUAUGUAGGUGAAGCGACUUGCUCGUGGAGCUGAAAUCAGUCGAAGAUACCAGCUGGCUGCAACUGUUUAUUAAAAACACAGCACUGUGCAAACACGAAAGUGGACGUAUACGGUGUGACGCCUGCCCGGUGCCGGAAGGUUAAUUGAUGGGGUUAGCGGUAACGCGAAGCUCUUGAUCGAAGCCCCGGUAAACGGCGGCCGUAACUAUAACGGUCCUAAGGUAGCGAAAUUCCUUGUCGGGUAAGUUCCGACCUGCACGAAUGGCGUAAUGAUGGCCAGGCUGUCUCCACCCGAGACUCAGUGAAAUUGAACUCGCUGUGAAGAUGCAGUGUACCCGCGGCAAGACGGAAAGACCCCGUGAACCUUUACUAUAGCUUGACACUGAACAUUGAGCCUUGAUGUGUAGGAUAGGUGGGAGGCUUUGAAGUGUGGACGCCAGUCUGCAUGGAGCCGACCUUGAAAUACCACCCUUUAAUGUUUGAUGUUCUAACGUGGGCCCCUUACCGGGGUUGCGGACAGUGUCUGGUGGGUAGUUUGACUGGGGCGGUCUCCUCCUAAAGAGUAACGGAGGAGCACGAAGGUUGGCUAAUCCUGGUCGGACAUCAGGAGGUUAGUGCAAUGGCAUAAGCCAGCUUGACUGCGAGCGUGACGGCGCGAGCAGGUGCGAAAGCAGGUCAUAGUGAUCCGGUGGUUCUGAAUGGAAGGGCCAUCGCUCAACGGAUAAAAGGUACUCCGGGGAUAACAGGCUGAUACCGCCCAAGAGUUCAUAUCGACGGCGGUGUUUGGCACCUCGAUGUCGGCUCAUCACAUCCUGGGGCUGAAGUAGGUCCCAAGGGUAUGGCUGUUCGCCAUUUAAAGUGGUACGCGAGCUGGGUUUAGAACGUCGUGAGACAGUUCGGUCCCUAUCUGCCGUGGGCGCUGGAGAACUGAGGGGGGCUGCUCCUAGUACGAGAGGACCGGAGUGGACGCAUCACUGGUGUUCGGGUUGUCAUGCCAAUGGCACUGCCCGGUAGCUAAAUGCGGAAGAGAUAAGUGCUGAAAGCAUCUAAGCACGAAACUUGCCCCGAGAUGAGUUCUCCCUGACUCCUUGAGAGUCC